rnacentral:rRNA from 1 species
AUUGAACGCUGGCGGCAUGCCUUACACAUGCAAGUCGACCGGUAACGGCCCCUCGGGUGCCGACGAGUGGCGAACGGGUGUGUAAUGUACCGGGACGUACCCUUCAGUGGGGGUUAACGGAGCGAGAGUUACGCUAAUACCUCAUAUUCUGUGAGCAGGAAAGCUGGGGGCCGCAAGACCUUUUGCUGAUUGGGCGGCCUAUAGCAGAUUAGCUAGUGGGGUAGGGAAAGGCUCACCAAGGCGACGAUCUGUAGCGGGGAUGAGAGGUUGAUCCGCCACACUGGAACUGAGACACGGUCCAGAAUCCGACGGGAGGCAGCAGUGGGGAAUUUUGGACAAUGGGGGCAACCCUGAUCCAGCCAUGCCGCGUGAGUGAAGAAGGCCUUCGGGUUGUAAAGCUCUUUCGGCCGGGAAGAAAUCGUAUCAGCUAAUACCUGGUGCGGAUGACGGUACCGGCAUAAGAAGCACCGGCUAACUACGUGCCAGCCGCCGCCGUAAAAC